UACGUAGGGGGCUAGCGUUGUCCGGAAUCAUUGGGCGUAAAGAGCGUGUAGGCGGCCAGGUAGGUCUGCUGUGAAAACUCGAGGCUCAACCUCGAGAUGUCGGCGGAAACCAUCUGGCUAGAGUCCGGAAGAGGAGAGUAGAAUUCCUGGUGUAGCGGUGAAAUGCGCAGAUAUCAGGAGGAAUACCCGUGGCGAAAGCGGCUCUCUGGGACGGUACUGACGCUGAGACGCGAAAGCGUGGGGAGCAAACAGG
rnacentral:rRNA from 1 species